GAAGUGGGUAGUCCGUACGAGCGCACCCUAUCCUUAUUUGCCAGCACAUCAUGGUGGGAACUAUAAGGAGACUGCCGGUGAUAAACCGGAGGAAGGCGGGGACGACGUCAAGUCAUCAUGGCCCUUACGACCAGGGCUACACACGUGCUACAAUGGGAAGGACAAAGAGCCGCGAAGCCGCGAGGUGUAGCUAAUCUCAGAAACCUUUUCGUAGUCCGGAUUGGAGUCUGCAACUCGACUCCAUGAAGUCGGAAUCGCUAGUAAUCGUAGAUCAGAAUGCUACGGUGAAUACGUUCCCGGGUCUUGUACACACCGCCCGUCAUACCAUGGGAGUGGGUUGCACCAGAAGUGGCUAGUCUAACUUUAUUGAGGACGGUCACCACGGUGUGAUUCAUGACUGGGGUAAAGUCGUAACAAGGUAGCCCUACCGGAAGGUGGGGCUGGAUCACCUCCUU
rnacentral:rRNA from 1 species